CGAGUCCCAAAUAGGACGAAACGCGCGUCCAGGAU
rnacentral:hammerhead_ribozyme from 1 species